rnacentral:rRNA from 1 species
CCUACGGGAGGCAGCAGUGAGGAAUAUUGGUCAAUGGGCGGGAGCCUGAACCAGCCAAGUCGCGUGCGGGAAGACGGUCCUAUGGAUUGUAAACCUCUUUAGGCGGGGAGCAAUGCCGGGCACGUGUGCCCGGAGGGAGAGUACCCGCAGAAUAAGCAUCGGCUAACUCCGUGCCAGCAGCCGCGGUAAUACGGAGGAUGCGAGCGUUAUCCGGAUUUAUUGGGUUUAAAGGGUGCGUAGGCGGAUUUUUAAGUCAGCGGUAAAAUGUCCGGGCUCAACCCGGGCCGGCCGUUGAAACUGGGGGUCUUGAGUGUGCGAGAGGUAUGCGGAAUGUGUGGUGUAGCGGUGAAAUGCAUAGAGAUCACGCAGAACUCCGAUUGCGAAGGCAGCAUACCGGCGCCCGACUGACGCUGAGGCACGAAAGCGUGGGGAGCGAACAGGAUUAGAUACCCUAGUAGUC